AUGCUCCCGUUCCUGCCGGCGUUCAACGACACGAACACGGCGACUGCCUUCUCCAACAGCCUCCGGAGCCCGCAUCCGGUGAAGGUGCCCGGGCCGGUGACCCACCGUGGGGUUCGGCCUCUUCAACUGCUGCCCCGGCCCCUUCUGCCAGGGCCCCAACAACACCCGGUUCGGCGCCAGCAUGAACAACGUCUCGUUCCAGCUCCCCAACACCGUCUCCCUGCUCCAGGGCUGCCAGCCCGAACGAAUCGUUCGGUGGGAGGUUCCUUGAAAUCUGCCGUUCGGCAGUUAUCAGGGUCCAAGCCCAAGUCCGAUCCUGAUUCUGCUCCUCAAUUAGACUAA
rnacentral:rRNA from 1 species